rnacentral:rRNA from 1 species
GAUGAACGCUAGCUACAGGCUUAACACAUGCAAGUCGAGGGGAAACGAUAGGGAAAGCUUGCUUUUUCUAGGCGUCGACCGGCGCACGGGUGAGUAACGCGUAUCCAACCUGCCCACCACUUGGGGAUAACCUUGCGAAAGUAAGACUAAUACCCAAUGAUAUAUCUAGAAGACAUCUGAAAGGGAUUAAAGAUUUAUCGGUGAUGGAUGGGGAUGCGUCUGAUUAGCUUGUUGGCGGGGUAACGGCCCACCAAGGCUACGAUCAGUAGGGGUUCUGAGAGGAAGGUCCCCCGCAUUGGAACUGAAAAACGGUCCAAACUCCUACGGGACGCAGCAGUGAGGAAUAUUGGUCAAUGGACGAGAGUUUGAACCAGCCAAGUAGCGUGCAGGAUGACGGCCCUAUGGGUUGUAAACUGCUUUUAUAAGGGAAUAAAGUGAGUCUCGUGAGACUUUUUGCAUGUACCUUAUGAAUAAGGACCGGCUAAUUCCGUGCCAGCCGCCGCGGUAA